GACUUGACAUCUCCUGAAUUACCGGUAAUGCGGGAAGCCCUUCGGGGCAGGAAGACAGGUGGUGCAUGGUUGUCGUCAGCUCGUGUCGUGAGAUGUUGGGUUAAGUCCCACAACGAGCACAACCCUUGUCGUUAGUUGCUACCAUUAAGUUGAGCACUCUAGCGAGACUGCCGCGGUUAACGCGGAGGAAGGUGGGGAUGACGUCAAAUCAUCAUGCCCCUUAUGUCUAGGGCUACACACGUGCUACAAUGGUCGGUACAAUGAGACGCAAUACCGCGAGGUGGAGCAAAACUUAUAAAACCGAUCCCAGUUCGGAUUGCAGGCUGCAACUCGCCUGCAUGAAGCCGGAGUUGCUAGUAAUCGCGAAUCAGAAUGUCGCGGUGAAUACGUUCCCGGGCCUUGCACACACCGCCCGUAAGGGCGAAUUCGCGGCCGCUAAAU
rnacentral:rRNA from 1 species